UGACACGUAGGCACCAAGCGUUGUCCGGAUUUAUUGGGCGUAAAGAGCUCGUAGGCGGUUCAGUAAGUCAGGUGUGAAAUCUUUGGGCUUAACCCAAAGCGUGCACUUGAUACUGCUGUGACUUGAGUUCGGUAGGGGAGUGGGGAAUUCCUAGUGUAGCGGUGAAAUGCGCAGAUAUUAGGAGGAACACCGGUGGCGAAGGCGCCACUCUGGGCCGAAACUGACGCUGAGGAGCGAAAGCGUGGGUAGCAAACAGGAUUAGAUACCCUGGUAGUCCACGCCGUAAACGUUGGGCACUAGGUGUGGGUUUCAACCAACGGAAUCCGCGCCGUCGCUAACGCAUUAAGUGCCCCGCCUGGGGAGUACGGCCGCAAGGCUA
rnacentral:rRNA from 1 species